UCUAUGGUCAAAAAGUGUCA
rnacentral:siRNA from 1 species